rnacentral:rRNA from 1 species
GGGCCCGCACAAGCGGUGGAACAUGUGGUUUAAUUCGACGCAACGCGAAGAACCUUACCUGGGUUUGACAUCCCCGGCCGACACCAGAGAUGGUGUUUUCUCUUCGGAGACCGGGUGACAGGUGCUGCAUGGCUGUCGUCAGCUCGUGUCGUGAGAUGUUGGGUUAAGUCCCGCAACGAGCGCAACCCUUGCCCUCAGUUGCCAGCAGUUCGGCUGGGCACUCUGGGGGGACUGCCGGUGACAAGCCGGAGGAAGGUGGGGAUGACGUCAAGUCCUCAUGGCCCUUACGUGUUGGGCUACACACGUGCUACAAUGGUAUCUACAACAGGAAGCAAAACAGCGAUGUUAAGCAAAUCCUUAAAAGAUACCUCAGUUCGGAUUGCACUCUGCAACUCGAGUGCAUG